rnacentral:piRNA from 1 species
UCUGAUGUUGGAAGUCAGCAGGAUUGUA